rnacentral:misc_RNA from 1 species
CGCGUGCGCACCCCCUCCCCCAUAUUCACAGAGCGGCUUUCGUUUUGCCUUUGCUGCCGUGCCCUCUUUUCGCAUCCUUCACCGCUCCAUCGUUUGCGCGUCAUCACCCCCCUUCUUUCUUUUUGGCCGGUCACUCCACUUGCACCCCCUCUCUCGUGCACACGCAAACGCACACGCACCUAUCGUUUUCAUCGAGCCACCGGUCCAACCGUUUGCAAACGAAGAGAAACACCCCCUCCUCUCCCCCCAAAAAGGUUGAGAGAGGGGGAGCGUAUCAACACACGCACACGCACACGCACAACCCAGAAAGGAAAGGAAGGGGGAUUCCUCUCUUUAGAUCUGGUCUGGCAGCGUCCAUACAGCCCUUCAGAGGCGCACGUAACAACGUCUCAACGCUAUACCUUCUCCCCACACACCCUCCACUUUUCUCGCACACGCACACAGAGAGAAACACCCAUAUAUCCACGCAGACCCCAACAAUCAGUGAGCGAGGCGAGAAGAACGCCUCCGCACCUUCUCCACCGUUAAGAAGAUAUAGUGAUAGAACUCGGUGAUAGAGCAACUUUCUAUUUCUACUCUGUCGCCCUCCCUCCCCUCCUUCUCUCCCUCCUUCUGUCUGUCUGUCGCCGCCUCCAUCGUUAUCUUUCUCGCGGUUGUGUAUCGCCGCACCGGCUUAGAGAAAGAGAUAAGCGCAUCGUUUGCGGGCACUUGGCACACGCACGCUUUUCUUUCCGCCAAGCAGAGAGACACUCGCAAGCAGAGACGCACAUAGCGACAUAGACGUCUUGCACCAAACAUACACAAGAUACACACACGCCUCCAGACGCGCUUUAUACGCGGAUCACAAGACGUGUGAUCUCCGUGCACCAGGUACCUAAGACUACCAAGAGCAGUAGAGUCACCACCGCCUUUUUUUUUUCGUGUUUCCCCUGCAGCACUGUUUAAAGAGUUUUUUUUUUCGGUGCUUGGCGCGCAGGCAGUGAAUCAGUUCUUACGCUCCAGGGACGCCCCUCUUCCACAACGUCCGAGCUAUCUUCGGAUUUCGGACAGUGGCGUACUUUCAUUUUUCCGUCGUGUGCGGUCGGGUUAGUGGGCGGUGUCUGGCUUCGAUCUCUGCCCGUGUUAGCGCACUUCUGGCUGCCCCCUCUGCGACCUCCAGGGAUAGUUUCCACCUGCCGCAGACAUCGUGCCGACCCCCAUGAGCCGCAGCUCCCUCUGUCCAUCCUCUUCCACAGAGGCGCCGGCGCGACAAAAAUCCUAUGCAUGCCUGCCUGACGACAUAGCCGGCGAGGGCAGCAGCAGCAGCAGGGGCCCAUCAGGGCGGUGGGCCGAUGCUCUUCUCAAGAGCACAUCACAGGGCGCUGCCUCUGCACCAUCGGCGAGGGAGCUGGCGUCGCAGCCCGCGCACAAAACUGUGCCAAAGGAUUGCAGCCAGACUGCAGGCACUAUCACCGGCCCCGUCCGCGCGCCUCCACGACAGCCACAGAGUGAAGCAAGCAGCACCUCCCUGCAGCAUCGCGACAAGUUGCACCGCAGCAACUCGCUUGCCAUCGACGCCGCGCCUCCGCGCGCUAUGGCCGUCGCGGUGCAUCCGCCGUUGUCACGUGGCUCACAGCGAGCUGUAAGCGCGGCAUCCUCAGCACCCGCAUCGGUUUCGUCAGCCACGACGUCAGUGGGCUCUCACGCAUCGACGAGUAACACCGCUUCCGCUCCAGCCACACUGGUUUCUGACCGGCCUCUGAACCAAGCAUCACCGCCACCACCUCUGCCGUUUGGGACGGCUGCGCCCACGGGUCCAACUCGUGCUUCCACCGUUUCCACCGUGCCGCAAAAUGGAGUGAACCCACCACAGACCACCGCAAACACCAUGGACAGGAGGUACACUCGCGUCCAUACACCGGCGCACAUGCGCCCGCAGCAGUUUCACGCACCGCCUCAUACUCACAGAGGCGAAGAAAAUGGCAACAGCAACGGCAAUGUCGGCAGCGGCAGUGGGAGUCCUCUCGCAUCCACGGCAGCACCCCACGCCUUCGCAGCCACCUACGCCUCAUUGCCUUUUUUCCAGCGCGUGACCGACGCCGCACCAACGCCGCAGUCUUCGCCGGACGCGCCGCUUGCGGCGGCUUCGACGGCGAGUGCCAUUGCUCAGGAUGAGGAGAGCUCAUUGCUACCGUUGCAGGACGUGACGCCCAUCACAGACGCCGAUGAUUCCCAACAAGAGUCGCAACUGCUCAGCAAGCUGCGAGCAACAGCGGAAAGUGGGUGUGACAGUGGGCAGUACUCGCACCAUCAAGAGACUGCCGACCACGAUGUCAGCGCUGGCGCCACACCGGCAUUUUCUUCUGAAACGGCGAACACCGCGCCCCUGCAGUCGCCACCCUUCACAGGCGCUCACAACGCCUUUGUUGCGGGCUGCACACCACCGUGGAGCACGCUGCCGUACGUCCAGCCUCAGCCGUGUCCAAUGGUUCGAGUGCUUGCCCACCAGCAGUCGGUGCUCUUUCCGUGCGAGUGCAACGCUAGCCAAUGCGUGGCUGCGAAACCCUUUUCCCGGUCGACAUCGCCUUCUGACACAGCGCGGCUGUGUGGGACGCCGGGCGGGUUGUCCACAUCGCAGAGCGUAACCAUGUGCAGUACUGGGCAGCGAAGGAGCCGCGGCGCCGUGUCAGUGGCGGCGACCAACGGUACUGCGAUGAGCUCUGCUUGUCCUUUGACGUCGCCGGAGAGUGUUAGCGUGCACUUGAGUGGCAUCUACGCGUCACCGCCGCCGUCGUCCUCGCAGGCGUACGCCAAUGGCCAUGACCAGUGUUGCUCGCCUUUCCCAGUCCCCGGCAGCAGUAGACGGAGGUGCCACAAAACGGGCACCGCUGCCAGCUCUCCGUCUGCGUACGCACACGUGCCACACCAACAACAUCUUUUCCUCCAGCACUACAGCGUUGAUGGGGUUAGUGGCUAUGGCUCCCGCCGCGGCCCGUUGCUGUCCUCUUCUCCAAACCUGACAGUGACACCACUGCCCAUGUGGACGUCGGUGCCGGAAGCUGCCUGUGCAACGACAACGGCGACGGCUGUAGCAGGUCAAGGACGAACGAGCGCACCGGCAGGCACCUCAACUGCUCAAGGCGCUUCGGGAGGAGCGUCAGAUUUCUCGGCUAUUGCGCGCGGCCUGUCUGGCGUGGCUCUGGAGAAGCAGCUGCUUCACGCCAGCAAAGGUGAGCUGGCGCAGAUCCUACUGGAGCUGGCCAGCUGCAACCCGGAGGCAUCACGCUUUAUCCACUCCAAGGCGUUCUUCUUCGCCUUCCGCCACGAACACGGGGGUGGGUCUGUGGAGGCUUGCAAAGAAUGCCCAGCAGCGACCCCGGCGACGACAGCAGCCGCAGCCGCUGCCGCUGCGAACAAGAACGGGCAGCACUAUGCUCUUCACGGCGGAUGGGGCAGUGAUUUUACCUCAAAGACUGUGGACACCCCCGACGGUGACCGUUCUUGCGAGCAGUCAGGGGCGCUCAAGCGACCCGUCACAGGUGCGGCGGCCCUCGGCGCCGCUGAAGCGGGGCACGACCACGUCAUCGCUCGCUGCAUCUUUCCCGUGGAGGCGGCGGACGACGAGAAUGGCGACGGCGACGGCGACGACUCUGUGGCUAAGAUCGAGCAUUCUGACCCGACGGUGGCGAAGGGUGCUGCCAACGCAACAAUGCCGCGGUGCUGCCUCUACCCGGAGGAUCGUGCCUUCAGCGCUGAGCUGCACCCGUGCCUCCGCUGGUACGGCGCGUGCCGCAACGCGACGAGUUGCGUUUACGCGAAUGUGCCGCGCAACCUGUGUUUAAGCUGGAUUCGCGGCUCCUGCAUGGCCGACACCGGGUGCAGCGGCGUUCACCGACUCCCUUCCCCAUGCCCGCCUGAGAUUCGCAGAAUCUACGAGCUGAACCACGGCCUCGCACGCCGCGACACACCCGCGAACGCGUGCGCCGUCGGGGUAUCUCUUGGUCAUUUUCUCCCCAUUCCUCCUCCGUUCCCGGUCUGCACCUCGAAGGUACGAGCGCCGCUUGCGAACGGAAGCGUUGCUGCAGCGCUUCCCACCAAUCCGAACGCGAACGCCCCGGCCACUGAGCUUGCGGAGGCUUGCGCUGCUGCCAACGAAGCACUUGGCAUGUGCGCCGCUAUGGCGGAGGGGCUAGGAGAGAAGGUAGUUGUGCACACGCCAACGGACCAGUCUAUCCACAAGGACACCUUCCUCGGCGGCGGCAGCACGCCGCACCGCCAUCCGCACGGGCGUGACGUGGAGCUCUGCAUCUCUGCCAUGACGAUGUCGGAGAGGCGCGGCGGCGCCCACACGAUGACGGCUGGAGACGCCAGCUUGUGGGACUUAUCUGAUGCGGCCAUCACCACGAAUGCCUGCGGGCCGGUUGAUCACGAGAUGCUGCAGUACACCGGCGGCAUUCUUGGUGCCGGCGCCAGCGCUGGUGCAGCGGCCGCGGCGGUCCCGCCGUGCCUCUUUGAUGCCGACGUUCGACCGGGAGGUCGGAGGGGUGGCGUUGUGUCUUCAGCUGCUAAUAGUCGCUGUAGCACCGCCGAGGGCUUCGACAGCCGCACGAACUCCGUCAGCCGAUACCUCGGCCCUCAGUUUGAUCGCGCGGCGACGGCGGUGCCUCACUGCAACGAUGGGCGGCCCGACAGCGCGGCCAUGGGCGGGGCAAUGCAGGAGCAGAAGCCGGAUCCUAAGAAGAGCAUCAAGUCCAUCUGCGAUUGUGUCUUCGAGGCCAAGGAGCCUCUCCAAGUGGUACCCGUUCGUCCAGCCGGUGGCGCGGCGGGGGCAUUGAUUGACGUGGAUGACGAGGGCGACUUCUCCGCUCCUGCUGCAGGCACGCGCACGCGGAUGCAAUCACCACUGUACCAGUGAACGCAAAACGGAAUAGCCACCUGCAGCUGAAUAUACUCUCUGCGUUUUCUCAGUGUUCCUCUCCCUCCAUGUCGUCGCUUCCUUCCAUCUCUGUGUAUGCGCGCCUCUGUCUCCGGUGCCUUGUGCAUUGGUGCUCGUGUCGUUGCCGUCUUGGCCACCUCGCUUGGCGUGUGCGCGCUUGUGUGUGUCGAUGUGCGCCAUGCCUGUGUCUGUCUUUUUUGUUUUGCCUUUUAUGCGUUGGAGGCUUAAUACUUUAGACAUCUUCAUGAUACCCAUCUCUAUAGCUAUAGACAUCUGCCUAUACACGUUUAUAUAUAGCUUGAACUUCUGCGCAGGCGCGUCUUUUCGCGCGUGUGAGGGCUUAGACGCAGUCGUCAUGCCCACCUCGUUGUUGUGUUCGCCUUUGCAGCGCCCUCUGCGCGUCACCUCGCUCGAUGCCCCCGCCCUCCUCCUACUCCCUCUUCGUCCGAGGUUGUCCUGCAGGAGAGCGGGCUUAGACUCAUAUGGGCAAGUUGAAGUAAGUUCGAGGGCGGGAGCGGCAGGUGAUGGUGAGGGGGGGGUGAGGACGGGAGAUGUGGCCGCGGCUGCGCAGGUACGAAAAGCUGCCGUCCCGCUCAAAGAACACAUCACACCCUUCUACAGGCACAGUUCCGGCAGUGUGCAACGAAUAGAUUCAUCUCUGUUCCUUUUUUUUUUUGUCUUCUCGCGGACUUCUUGUGCCCUUGACGCCAGCAGAAGAGCUCCGCAACGACAACAGAAACCUGGAAAAAAAGGGGUGGGAGGAGGUCUGAAGAGCAAGAGAGGGGAAGGGGGUCGGGUGGGGUGAGGGGCGGCAAAGAGAUCUCGUGCACUCACCAGAUCCCCGCGCCCUCUCAUCAUUGGCUCCGCUUGAUUUCCACACUCUAGUUGUGCAGCGCGAAGAAAAAGGAAAUGAGUGCGCAAGGUGAGCGCGCAUUGCAGACGCAGACAUGACGCGAGACGCAUGGCUUGGCAUCCUUGCACCUCUCUCCCUCCCUCCUCCUCGCCUUUCGCAACGCAUUCACACGCACACGCAUGGGCAUGAGAGCCUAUCCCUUGUGGCGCUGCCUCCUCUUGAGAUCAGAUUUUCUUGGGUGCUUUUUUGCCACUCACCUCACUCACCUCGUCACCUGUAACUCUCUUCUCUUGGGUCUUAACCGUGUCGUGGUAUCGUCUCUCUUCUCCGCGGGGGGUCGACAG